rfam:Triticum aestivum genome assembly, contig: Triticum_aestivum_CS42_TGACv1_scaffold_272676_3DS
GUUAACAGGCUAAUCUUCUCCAAGUGUCCACAUGAACGGGAAGGUUUGGCACCUCGAUGUCGGUUCUUCGCCACCUGGAGUUGUAGGUGGUUACAAGGGUUGGGUUGUUCACCCAUUAAUGUGGUAGUGAGUUCGGUUUAGAACGUCGUGAGACAGUUC